AGACUGUGAUUGGAGGAGCACUGCUGGAGGACUGUCCUCCGUGGACUGUGAUUGGUGGAGAAGCUUUCUUGAGGUUUAUGUUGCCAUGACACAGGGUCUGGCCAGACCAAUCAGUGCCAUAAUUCUAUACCAUCACUCUAUAUUCUUAUAUACUCCACUGGAAGUGUACAUGUUAUAUCAUUGUAUUGUAUUUCAGUUGGCACUGUCAGGACAAUCGGAGUAUAUGUACUUAUGUUUUUGAGUGACGACACUCCUUUCUGGUAGUGAUGAUAUAGCCUGCUGAAGAUAGUGAGGCUGGGGGCUGGGGGGAUUUCCCUGUUGUGAUUACUCUAAUGAGUGAGGUGAACCAGGGGUCGAUGGAACGUUAUAGGGCACCAGGCUCCCAUCGUUCUCCCCUUUCAGAGGAACCGACUAAAGUGCUCUGAGGGAAGAGGUGGGGUGACUGAUCAGUGAGGUGGUGUCCGUGGUGUGUGACCCCAGGCUGGGGUGACUGAUCAGUGAGGUGGUGUCCAUGGUGUGUGACCCCAGGCUGGGGUGACUGAUCAGUGAGGUGGUGUCCAUGGUGUGUGACCCCAGGCUGGGGUGACUGAUCAGUGAGGUGGUGUCCAUGGUGUGUGACCCCAGGCUGGGGUGACUGAUCAGUGAGGUGGUGUCCAUGGUGUGUGACCCCAGGCUGGGGUGACUGAUCAGUGAGGUGGUGUCCAUGGUGUGUGACCCCAGGCUGGGGUGACUGAUCAGUGAGGUGGUGUCCAUGGUGUGUGACCCCAGGCUGGGGUGACUGAUCAGUGAGGUGGUGUCCAUGGUGUGUGACCCCAGGCUGGGGUGACUGAUCAGUGAGGUGGUGUCCAUGGUGUGUGACCCCAGGCUGGGGUGUGGAUCCCACCUGCUGCUUUCAUCACCUGUAGUCUCCAGGACUUUCACAGCAGUGAUGUAGUUUAAUGGAGAAGAACACAGCACACUGACUGGUUUCACUACACGAGGGUUAAAGAACUUGCUUUUCGGUUUCUUCCCCUCACCUAGACGUUGGAUAAACUGUACCGUUUCAAAAUAAAAGCCACCUCUUCAGUCACCCCCCCUCACUACCGGCUCAGAGUGGCAGACCAGUUCAGAUGGAAGCGCUGGAUGUGGCUGUUUCCUGAAUGUUAACGCAGCACAGCUCUGAAUGGGUUUCUUCAGUGUCUAAGUGCCUCAAGCUCUGGUGGAGAACCAUUUAAUGAGACGUAAAGACAGAGGACAUAUCUUUAUUUAAGAAUGAAUGCAGUGCAUACACAUAUAAACACUGCUGCAAAGUAUAUUUUCCUUAAGAUUCACUGAUUGUUUAGCAAUAAAACAACUGAUUUCCUUUGAUUUUUUUUUCUAUAAAGUUUAUUGUCUGGUAAUUUGUUGCCUGGCAUCAAAUGUAAACAAAUUAUUAAUAAAAUGUGUUUCAAAUGA